rnacentral:rRNA from 1 species
AGCGAACGCUGGCGGCAGGCUUAACACAUGCAAGUCGAGCGGGCAUCCUUGUGGUGUCAGCGGCAGACGGGUGAGUAACGCGUGGGAACGUGCCCUUCGGUUCGGAAUAACUCAGGGAAACUUGAGCUAAUACCGGAUACGUGCGAGAGCAGAAAGGUUUAUCUGCCGAAGGAUCGGCCCGCGUCUGAUUAGCUAGUUGGUGAGGUUACGGCUCACCAAGGCGACGAUCAGUAGCUGGUCUGAGAGGAUGAUCAGCCACACUGGGACUGAGACACGGCCCAGACUACUACGGGAGGCAGCAGUGGGGAAAAUUGGACAAGGGGGGCAACCCUGAGCCAGCCAUGCCGCGUGAGUGAUGACGGCCUUAGGGUUGGAAAGCUCUUUUCUCCGGGACGAUAAUGAGGGUACCGGAGGAAUAAGCCCCGGCUAAAUGCG